rnacentral:rRNA from 1 species
GACGUAGGGCGCGAGCGUUGUCCGGAUUUAUUGGGCGUAAAGAGCUCGUAGGCGGCUUGUCGCGUCGACUGUGAAAUCCCGCGGCUCAACUGCGGGUCUGCAGUCGAUACGGGCAGGCUAGAGUUCGGUAGGGGAGACUGGAAUUCCUGGUGUAGUGGUGAAAUGCGUAGAGAUCCGGAGGAACACCAGUGGCGAAGGCGGCUGGCUGGACCUGACCUGACGCUGAGGCGGCGAAGGCGGUGGGGAGCGAACGGG